UGUGUCACUGUCAGGCAUAUUUGGUCAGUCAUUUGCAUAGAAAUGAAAAGGAAUAGGACCGUCAGAUAGGUGUUAUAUCAUUUGAUAUAGGUGACUGUGCAGUAUUGUGUCGACAAUACUGCUGUCAAGAGAAGCAGUUAUGUGUUAAAGAAAAAUUCUUGUAUCGAUGCUGACACUGGCUUUCAUCUGGAAACUCUCUAUUCUAUUCAUGUCGUCGGGUGACUUAGAAAUUAACAAGUGCGGAAGUCUGGUUUGAGUACAAUGUGUCAGAACCGUGCAGAGGAUAAGAGUUUCAAUUCUUUUAAACCUGACUCAAACUUACUCCAGACAAAUCCAAUGUGGAGAACAAAUAAUACCCUGAAAAGACAUUUCAGUGUUUUUCAUGGGCAAUUUUAAUUGGAUUUCCAGCUUCUGAAGGAAGGAACAUUUUAACA